GACAUGGGUCUUUUUUGUACUUCUAAAACAAAUUCUAUAUCUGAAUCCUAAUUGCGCAGUUGAACUGCCACCAUUUUUCAGAUAUAUAAAACAUUCAUAUUUUUAUUGGUUGAUUAUUUUCUUCGUAUCUUGCCACGCCAUAUUGUUCAUGUGUGCUAGUUGGUUAAAGUUCAAUUUUUCAUCUCCUUUUGUGUGGCUAUGUGUGUUAAAUUGAGCAGCUGCACAGGAAAAGCUUGUCCAAGACACAUUGUAUGUGCAUAACUGCAUGAAUUUGCUUUCUUGUACUGUGUGUCAUGUUCAAUGUGUAUAGCCUUUAGGAAUAGUCUCAUUAAUAAUAAUAACAAUAUCAUCAGUGUGCCUAAAAUUUAAAUACACCAACUUGCUUUUAUUAAAAGAUAUUUAACAGAUUUACGUAGAGAAAUAUCGUCAUUUAAAUUUUUCCACAAUUUUAAAUGAUCCCUUAUUAGUAAACUCUGUUGAUAUGGAAUUGAAGCAACUCAUCUAUGUUAGCCUCUCUUGUCUUCAGAUCAGAUCUCUCUGCAUUGACAGCAAUGUUACUCAUUUAAUUGGAAAAUUUAACCUCUGGAUUAAUCAUGAAAUUCUUUUCUUCAUAUUUUAUACUUUCCAAUCUGUAAUUAUUAAUUGGCAGAGCAUUUCAAUGUUCACCACACAGACUAUACAUACCUAUUGUGGUAUGUAGUAUUGUGGUUUAGAUGAAGGAUGUGGCUCACCAAUUCCUCCUGAAAAAUUUUGAGUCUUAGAAUUAAAUCUGGAUCCUUUAAUUGUUAUAGUAUGGUCUAUUGGUUGACACUCAUGGUAGGAUCAUAUGAAUGGUAAAAGGAUAGAAUUUGGUGGUUGAGCCCAACUUCCUCCUGGAAAAAGCUGGAAUUGCAGAAUCCAGAAUUGAAUCCAUAUAUUCCAGGAUGGAAAUGUGGCAUAUUUCUAGAUUAUCAUAUACAGGUAUUUUCCAUCUUUGAGUUAAUUCAGACCUGGAAAUUGCUCAUAAAAUAAGAACUUAUAAACAAAGACUCAAUUUCCUAUAUACAUAAUGUUAAAACUAGGAAUUCCAUUCUCAGCACAAUAAAAUUAAAUAGACG
rnacentral:lncRNA from 1 species